UACGUAGGGGGCUAGCGUUGUCCGGAUUUAUUGGGCGUAAAGAGCGUGUAGGCGGCCAGGUAGGUCUGCUGUGAAAACUCGAGGCUUAACCUCGAGAUGUCGGCGGAAACCAUCUGGCUAGAGUCCGGAAGAGGAGAGCGGAAUUCCUGGUGUAGCGGUGAAAUGCGCAGAUAUCUGGAGGAACACCGGUGGCGAAGGCGGCAUCCUGGACCAACACUGACGCUGAGUGGGCGAAAGCCAGGGGAGCAAACGGG
rnacentral:rRNA from 1 species